UGGAAUCUUACAGGGCUUUGGCAAAUACCUUGUAUAACCUGCACAGAUCCUCACCUAAUCCUUCCGUCUCUUCUUCCUUCUUGAGGAGCUGUCCCUGAUUCUCUGCCAUAGGCACAACCACCUACUUAUUGAGAGUGAAGCUUUGAUCCUGAAAUACAAGCAUUAUCAUAAUGAAGCUGAAGCUGCCUUGGGCAAGAUCACAGCUCACUAUGAAUUUGGGGAAAUAAAAAUGUGCCAAGGAAGAGAUCUCGACAAACACUGGAGACUCAUCAACCGGAGUGAAUUCCCUCAGUGAAAUCGCGAUCCUCUGCCAAGAAUCAAAGGUCAUCCCAGUGGAGUGCCGUCUUCGUGUUCAGCCGCUAUGGAGUGUCUGGAACAGAGUGAGAACAAAAAUGAUCCCAGUUUGGUGCCCCCUGACUCUUUCGGGAAGAAUCCCAACAAGACUGCCACCCGGAAUUCAGAGAACACAUUUGAAGACUGGGGAAGGGCCAGGCUAAACAAGGGAGAAUAGUGAUGUAAAGACAAUAAGAUAAAGGAAAUAAAUGACUCAAAGACAA